GUUAGACAACUCUCCAGUAGUAGCUGCGUAGACUUUAGUUUUUUUCUGACAGUAGAUACAAUGUUGAAGAUCUGACUUGGUUUCAAAGGGACUUCAGUGACCUCUCCUUACAACGGACAAAGUAAACAACCAGCAGCACGACAACCCCUAGUAGCCCACCUAUCAGCAGCAGCCAAGGGAGAGUGGAUGGGCUCGGUCUAGUAUCUGUUGAUGUGAGAUGAGAUUAUAUCAGAGGUGUUGGUGAACCCCUCCCGCAGCUGAACUGGCUACAUAGAGGGCACAGCAUGAUCAGAGGUAUGUUUUGAGAUGAAAGAGGAUGCCAACGUCGCCACCUAACCCACUCUUAAGAUAACCUUCGAGCCCACUGGGAGCCCAAGGCUGGUUAGGAGACACCGCUAGAGACUCUAUUAUGUAAUUGUGAUGAACUGAGUGAAUAUUAGGGUAGCACUGUGAUUCAUUAAUCAUAUGCUGUCUUCAUUGCUCCUCUGUUCUUACCUCUUUCCCUUUCUGUCUUUUACACCUCUCUCGCCACCCCCUUUCUUCCUGUUUUUAUAAUGCACACCAGAUGUGCUUUAAUAAUAAUAAUAAUAAUAUAUCCCAUUUAGCAGACGCUUUUGUCCAAAGCGACUUACAAGUCGGCUGGGGCCACUACUUUUGCAUAUGGGUGGCCCCAGUGGGAAACGAACCCACGACGCUUGGCGUUGCAAGCGCCAUGCUCUACCG